CCAACCAACCAAAAACAAAAAAAAACCAAACCAACAAAAAAUACCCACCAACCCACAGGAAAAGGCACCAAGCUGGAUGUCUGUCUCUCAUAAGCUUUGGGAUAAGUCUGAGCUGUGAACACACCCGAAACGGAACCUCAGGCUGCCUGGCAGCCACAUCCCGAUGGGCAGCCACAGCCCGCAGCCCACAGGCACCGGCGGGAGGCAGAAGUGCUGCCAAGCUCGGCACUCAGCCUCGGCUUUAGCGCGGCAAAGCACACUCAGAGGAAGGCUAAACGAAGUUGAGAAAUUCAGGAAAAGUCCUUUCCUGAGGCCUCCAACCAGUGUCGCAGGCACAAGGAGGGACAGCACCUCGAUCUGCGGAGAUGUCAGGGAAUGCUGGAAAACCCAGCGCUGAAGCUUGUCUGCUUCAUUUGCGCUUCAAAGCGUGGAAGAGCAAGUGACGAAUAAUUUCUCCUGCUCCAGCACUAGGCAGCAGCUCCUGAGAACAUCUCCCGGCUUGGGUGAACCCGAGGGUGACUGCAAUACUGAGUAACUGAGAGGCUGUACCCGAUGUGAGAGUAUGAGGGAAGAUCUGAAGUUUGCUGAUGUAUCACAACUUCCACAGCCAGCAAUUGAGAGCAGGCUGCUCCAGUAACAGAGCUCCUUGAGGGAUGGACAGCUGCAGAGGAACACAGGGCUUUGAUUCAAAUCACUCACUGAUUGCUUGGCUCCCAAGACGCACGUAUGAGGUGCUCCCUUUCCUACCACAACACCUGCCUUGCACAAGGGGCACAAGGUCUGACCACCGAGCAUCACAGCAGUGCUCACAGGGAACAGACACGAAACCCGGAGCACGCCGAGCGCUCAGGGAUGCUCAGGGUCUGGUUGAGCACUGGGUCCCCCCAAAUCAGGAAAACCUACAUUCAAACGCUGAAAUAAAAUAAUGGUGGUUAUGGAAAUGCUGGAGGAGGGGACCUGGUGCCCCACGCUAAGGCUGAAAGGCAAGAAGUGAGCCCGGUGCCUGCUGCCUUCCCGUCAUCCCGCAUCGGCGGCCAUGCACUCACUCGCUUUCCUUCCCGAGGAUCUGACAAUUUGCAUUUCAAGGCAAGAUUAAAUAUUGAAGUUUUGAGCGCUUCCAUGUGCUUCAGGAGGAGCCAAACAGACCCGCGCUGGAACAGGCUGAACACAGAAAAGCCAUUUGUGCCAAACUGCUUGGUUUCCUCUUUGCAGAGCCAUGAUAAUGUGAUAUCCGACAGCUGAAUGUAGGCCACAACAGGCUUUUAUAGUUGGAGGGGUGGAGGACGGAGGGAGGGAGGGAGGGGGCUGAAUCCACGGUGCUGCCAGCCAAACGCACGAAAACGAUGAGAGAUUUUUGGGGCAGGCUGGAGACUCCUGGCCACUCCCAAGAUCCACAUAUUAGCUUCACUGUUAGCACAAGCUCAGGGCCUGCUGGAGGGGAGCUUGGAGAAGGUAGAGCAGAAAGGACAACUCCCUGGCCGUCAGUAAACGCUACAUGAAAUUCCUGGCCUUGUGCUGCACAGACACUGGGAUUUGUGGAGGAUGGGCCAUGACUGGUGGCCAGCUUCCCAUGGAGGCAGCCGCACCUUGCAAGGAACAACCAGUUGCAGCAGUUUGGUUUAGUUAAUGGAUUCUUCUUGCCUGUUUCUCAGCUCCUGGUGAUGAGGAGGAAAAGGCAGGAGGGCUGGUCUGCUUUGGCUUAGACACUACCACUGGGGCCUUGGCAUGGCUCGAUGCUGUGAGCUAAACCUGGGCCUUGCUGGUGGGAGAAGAGGUGUUGGGAAAGUCAGAGGGUCAUCCUGCCUUCCUGAACCUGAGUGGUGCUGGUGGAAUGGGGACAGUGCAAGCACCAUCUUCCCCAUCAAUUGUACAGUCUGAGCCCCAAAAGUACCACAGAGACCACAAAGCACUUGCCACCAGAUUAAGAGUAUUAAUCCCUGCAGGGAUGAAGUAGCAGCAGUUUCCCUCCACGCAUCCUCCAGCACCUUCAUGUGAAAUGUAAUGGGUUUUUUUUAAUAAGGGUUGUGAUUCCUCCUCUCUGCUUUAUAGUCAUUUCAUGUCCUAAUAGGCUGCAAAACAGUUGCCUCACUCCACCCCAGAUGUGGCCACAUUUCUGUGGUGAGGAAAAACUCUGGCAAGUGCGCCGAAGUCGGGUGCUUUGGUUAGAAAAUUAUACAUUGCAUUAAAAACCUGUAUUAAAGAAUAAUAUGCGGUCUGCAAAAACAUUCAAACAAAACACUUCAGCGUUAGGAAGUGUCUUAUUUACAGCGGUGGGAGCCGCUUGUGCCCUUUUCCCUCCCCUGUCCACAGGGCAAGGAUAGAGGUUGGGACGGGGGCUCACGUACCUAAAGGUCGGAGCACAGUGUGUGCACACAGAGCUGAGCUUGCAAGGAAUCAUACAUUAGGCAUUUCCUAACUUAAAAGCAGUUGGCUUUGUAUUGUAAACAACAUUCUUUUAACUUAGGAAAUAGCAUUUAAAAAAAGAAUGAAGAAAAAGAUCUUUUAAAUAAAUGUCUACAACGUA